rnacentral:rRNA from 1 species
UACGUAGGGUGCAAGCGUUGUCCGGAAUUAUUGGGCGUAAAGAGCUCGUAGGCGGUCUGUCGCGUCGGCUGUGAAAACCCGAGGCUCAACCCCGGGCCUGCAGUCGAUACGGGCAAACUAGAGUACUGCAGGGGAGACUGGAAUUCCUGGUGUAGCGGUGAAAUGCGCAGAUAUCAGGAGGAACACCGGUGGCGAAGGCGGGUCUCUGGGCAGUAACUGACGCUGAGGAGCGAAAGCGUGGGGAGCGAACAGG